UACGGAGGAUCCGAGCGUUAUCCGGAAUUAUUGGGUUUAAAGGGUGCGUAGGCGGCCAUUUAAGUCAGCGGUGAAAUUUUGCAGCUUAACUGUAACAGUGCCGUUGAUACUGGGGAGCUAGGAUUUGGUUGCUGUGGGUGGAAUGUGUGGUGUAGCGGUGAAAUGCUUAGAGAUCACACAGAAUAUCGAUUGCGAAGGCAGCUCACAAAGCCAAGAUUGACGCUGAGGCACGAAAGUGUGGGGAUCAAACAGGAUUAGA
rnacentral:rRNA from 1 species